rnacentral:snRNA from 1 species
AUUGCUUCUCGGCCUUUUGGCUAAGACCAAGUAUAGUAUUUGUCCUUAUCAGUUUAAUAUCUGACACACCCUCCAUUAUAGGACAAUAUAUUAAACGGCUUUUUGGAGCAGGGAGAUGGAAGAGGAGCUUGCUCUGUACACUCCAUGCAUCAAGCUGGUGUCAUGAUACUUCUAGGAAAGGUGCACCCCCU